rnacentral:rRNA from 1 species
UGUUCAGGGGUAAACCUGUGGUUCCCGAAAGUUCGAACGGGGAGAUUCAAUUGCCUCGCCGGUUAUGACCAUUUAACAGUGAUGUUUAUAUAUGAGACAUUAUAUACGGUUUUCAGUUAAUUCUGCAUUCUGUUUUAUAGUGCUCCGCUGUUUUAUGUAUAUUGUUUAUAGCCGGAGGCGUGCACUUCUCCCCUUGUAGGACGUCGUGACCCAUUGGAUAAUUAAAAUGUUGUCUAAGGCUCAUAAUGGAGACCGUGGCUUUGAGCUUUGGCUUAACUGACCCGGACUUAUGAUGUCCCGACAUCUAUCCGAUGGUAGUACUAUGAUGAUGGGUCGCUGUAAAAGGUGAGCGUUCUGAUCCAUAACAAAUGCUUAUAUGGUAUAUUAGUGGAAAUCGGAUAUUAUGCCGGUUCUACACGUAUGGUAUUGUUAGUUAUGGUAUUCUUGAACCGUUCCUUAUCAUCAGUCAGCGGCGUUUAUGUUUUGGGUAAUUACAGGACCCGUCUUGAAACACGGACCAAGGAGUCUAGCAUGUGCGCGAGUCAUUGGGACUCUGUUAAACCUAAAGGCGUAAUGAAAGUGAAGUAUUUGUGAAUUUUCGUAAUUCACUUGUUUAAGGGAAGAUGGGUAACGGUAUUUAUGUUACCUCGCAUUCCCGGGGCGUCGCGUACUUAUUGCAAGUUGCGGCGCACCAAGAGCGUACACGCUGGGACCCGAAAGAUGGUGAACUAUGCCUGGUCAGGAUGAAGUCAGGGGAAACCCUGAUGGAGGUCCGUAGCGAUUCUGACGUGCAAAUCGAUCGUAUGAACUGGGUAUAGGGGCGAAAGACUAAUCGAACCAUC